CCUACGGGUGGCAGCAGUAGGGAAUCUUCGGCAAUGGACGAAAGUCUGACCGAGCAACGCCGCGUGAGCGAUGAAGGCCUUCGGGUCGUAAAGCUCUGUUGUCAGAGAAGAACAAGUACCGGAGUAACUGCCGGUACCUUGACGGUACCUGACCAGAAAGCCACGGCUAACUACGUGCCAGCAGCCGCGGUAAUACGUAGGUGGCAAGCGUUAUCCGGAAUUAUUGGGCGUAAAGCGCGCGCAGGCGGUUCCUUAAGUCUGAUGUGAAAGCCCACGGCUCAACCGUGGAGGGUCAUUGGAAACUGGGGAACUUGAGUGCAGGAGAGAAAAGUGGAAUUCCACGUGUAGCGGUGAAAUGCGUAGAGAUGUGGAGGAACACCAGUGGCGAAGGCGGCUUUUUGGCCUGUAACUGACGCUGAGGCGCGAAAGCGUGGGGAGCAAACAGGAUUAGAUACCCGAGUAGUC
rnacentral:rRNA from 1 species